rnacentral:SRP_RNA from 1 species
GCUGGGUAUGGUGGUGCAUGCCUGUAGUCCCAGUUACUUGGGAGGCUAAGGUGGGAGGAUUGCUUGAGCCCAGAAGUUUGAGGCUGUAGUGAGCUGUGAUCUGUGAUCGCAUCACUGCACUCCAGCCUGGGCAACAGAGUGAGAUUCUGUCUCU